AACAUGUGAGGAACAUGUACCGACUUGUACUUCUGCCAUUUUUGUAGCAAUUUCCUUGUAUGUCAACACAAUUUUAAAGAGUGCCGGCCAACGUGACGAAAACGUUAGCACGAUACAACUGAACUUCCCUGUAUGCUAAUUAUCAAGGAAAAGAAAUAAUCAAAAGACAAAAUUCCUUUAAAGAAUAUACUUAAUGUGCUUCAACGUGGGGGGUUUAAUGUAUUAAAGAAAAAAAACUUUGUUGGGGUGCCUAGCUGGCUCAAUCAGUAAAGCAUGUGACUCUUGAUCUCAGGGUCGUGAGCUGAAGCCCCCCACUGGAUAUGGAGCCCACUUAAAAAGAAAAAUUAAAAAAAACAAAAACAAAAACUUUGUUAACACGGUAUGACAGUAUCACUUCCAUAUGCAAUCCUUUUCUUUCUUUUCUUACUAAGCUUGUUUUAUAUUAAUAAGGUUUAACUUCUUUUCUAAUGGAUUAUGUAUUAUUAAAUGCCUGAAAUGCUAUAUUCCUGAAUCAUUUUUAAAACUUCAAAAUAACAUGGUCAGAAUCAACCUAUAAACAUAUAAGCAAGAUGUUUUAAGAAAAAUUAAGACAUCUGUCUCUUAAUAUACUUACUUGAUUUAAAGUCAUGAUAAUCACAGCAGGCAAAAUAAUAGAGUCCUCUAGUUAGUCUAGUGAAGAAACUAAUGAACACAUAGAUAAGAGGAAUAACAAAGAUAUGUUCACCAGCUUCCUUAAAUAAACAAGUAGAAUUUUAGAAAGACUUUAUUUGAAUUCCUUGAUCUCUGCCAAGGUCCAGCUGUUUGUACUAGCUGUUUGGAAAAUACUCAAUAGGACAUUUCCAAAGAGCAAAUCCCAGGUCAAGUUCAGAACAUGUGACCUCCUCACUGAUUGUAUUUAAACAGCAUACGGUAAGAAGUUAGAUUCCCCAAGGGACACUGGAGAAAGCCUGAAUUCUUAAUCUUCGAAGAAAAAAACAUCAAAAGGAAAAUGGUGUUCAAGCUGUCACUCAUCAGCCUGUUCCUCCUGUUUGUCACUAACACUUUGGGGAGCACUACAACAUUAAUGACCUCAAGGUCUAUGACAGUCUCGAGUCCCGCGAUGAGUCUGAAUUCUCUGACAAUCCCAAAUUCCAAGACAACCUCAAAUUCCAAGACAACCUCGAAUUCCAAGACAACCUCGAAUUCCAACACAACCUCAAAUUCCAACACAACCUCGAAUUCCAACACAAACUCGAAUUCCAACGUAACCUUGAAUUCCAACACAAUCUCGAAUUCCAAGACAAUCUCGAAUUCCAACACAAUCUCGACUCUCAAGACAACUUCAAAUCUCCAAAGAAUCUCAAAUACAAAGAUGAUUUCAAAUGCCAAGACACCUCUGAAAACAGCAGUGACCCCAAAGAUAGCCACAACCAUGAACAUGAUGACUAUGGGAAGUGGUGGCACGAAACGGAAUCCAAUGGACAGCACUCACUUUCUUUUCUAUAUAAUAUGCUCACUGUUUUGUGUGCACUCGGGCUGAAGUGGACUUGAACUUCUGCAUUCCUAUCUCAGUUCAUUACUAUCUGCGAAUUACAACAAGCACACUAGGAAAAUCAAAUUUAUUUCAACUUACUUGUUAGGAAGUUAUCAUUAUCCUGGCUUAAUUAGGUUGUAGAUUUUAAUUGUGUAAGUUUAUUACCUUAAUAUAAUGGUUUUCUUCCUUAAAAAUGCUAAAACAAGCAAAAUGCCACGUUUGCCUUUUAAAUGUCUGCAGAAUUGAGUUGAAACUCAGAUUCUUACAUUAAAAGUGUAAGAGAAGAAAUUGUGUUGGUGAUGUCUAACCAAAGUACACCUCUGUGUAUGAGAGAAGGGGACAGAGGACGGGGAAUGAGGAGUGGUGUGUGCUAUUUUUGUAUCAGCUUUUAUUAAACAGACAUGUGCUAAUCUUACGAGAAGAUACUACACAAAACACCUGUGUCACCUAUUUCAUGAAAUGUGGAACAGUAAUAUGUUGUUACGGUAAAAAAUGUGCCAAUUCUGUUUUUUGAAAAAAAAAAUGUUUUUUUUUUUUUUUUUUUUAAUUUAUUUGAAGGAUCUCUACACCCAGAGGUAGGGCUCAAACUCAUGACCCUGAGGAUCAAGAGUUGCAUGCUCUUCCGACUGAGCCAGCCAGGCGCCCCGACUCUGCUAACUACUGUAAUGCAUAAUGCAGCUGGUCCAAUGACAAGACUAUCUUGCUCUGAGUAAACAUUUCCCUGGUAUUUGAAAAGGUCAUUUGUAAAUCAGAUGCCUAGAAUUCAGAACUCUUCCCUAUAGAAAUAUAUCUCAAAACUA